rnacentral:misc_RNA from 1 species
AAGUCGUAACAAGGUUUCCGUAGGUGAACCUGCGGAAGGAUCAUUAACACGUAUCCAACGUAUCCACCCCUGUGGUCCUGUGCGCGGCUCUAUAUGUAAGUGGUAGAAACCAACUUUGUCAACCUGCGUGGUUGCAAAUUGCAAAUCUUCUGAGUUGAGGCAGGUUAGUCUGCGUGACUAAUCUGACCAAAGACCUAAAAACGAUGAAGAACGCAGCCUGUCUCUUAUA